CUGACAGAUCCUGCCUCAGGUUUAUUUGUACAAAUAGCACAGGAGGACACCAGCCCCAUGCAGACAGCAGCCCAGGGGUCACACCAGUCCUUCUGUCCUCACAUCGGCAGAUAAAGGUCUCUACUCUGGAGCCUUUGUGGGGGCCUGGGCACCUUUGGGAGCCGGAGCUGGAGCCGCAGCUGCACCUGCAGCCUUGGCCUUGGUUUGAGCCUUGGCCUGGGACUUUGGCCGGCAGAGCCUGAGACCCUUCUGCUGCUGCCCCUGCCCCCCGCCACAGGCUGCAGUCAGACCCUCAACUGAAGCAGGGGGCCGUAACCUCCGUGAACCUGACUAAGCUAGAGGGCGGUGUAGCCUAUAAUGUGGUACCUGCCACUAUGAGCGCCAGCUUUGACUUCCGCCUGGCACCAGAUGUGGACCUGAAGGUGCCAUCUCCACCUGGGUUUGGAGGAGGGAGCCUGGGUCCUCAGCCCUGUCCUAGGGGCUCAGGGAGAGCCUGAGGGGUCAGCUCAUCUCCCUUCUCACAGGCUUUCGAGGAGCAGCUGCAGGGCUGGUGCCAGGCAGCUGGUGAAGGGGUCACCUUCGAGUUUGCUCAGAAAUGGACAGAGCCCCGAGUGACAUCUACUGAUGAUUCAGACCCCUGGUGGGCAGCUUUUAGUGGGGUCUGCAAGGACAUGUGAGCACACUGGCCAGCGCCCCUCUCCCCUUCCCUCCCUCCCUCCCACCUUCCUUUGCUCCUUCAACCCUUCCCUUGCCCUCUCCCCUCUCUGCCUCCACAUUCACCAGGUUCUUCCCUCUGCAGGAACCUCACCCUGGAGCCAGAGAUCUUCCCCGCUGCCACAGACAGCCGCUAUCUUCGCGCGGUGGGGGUCCCAGCUCUGGGCUUCUCACCCAUGAACCACACACCCGUGCUGCUCCACGACCACGAUGAACGGCUGCAUGAGGCCGUGUUCCUCCACGGGAUCGACAUAUACACUCGGCUGCUACCUGCCCUGGCCAGUGUGCCCACCCUGCCCAGCGAAAGCUGAGCCCUGUGCUCUCCAACCUCCACCCCUGAUCAGUGCCAAGGACCCUUCUUCCCUCCUGCCCAACAAUAAAGUC
rnacentral:lncRNA from 1 species